rnacentral:rRNA from 1 species
UACAGAGGUCCCAAGCGUUGUUCGGAUUCACUGGGCGUAAAGGGUGCGUAGGUGGCAGGGUAAGUUUGAUGUGAAAUCUCCGAGCUUAACUCGGAAACUGCAUUGAAUACUAUCCUGCUCGAGGGUUGGAAGGGGGACUGGAAUUCUCGGUGUAGCAGUGAAAUGCGUAGAUAUCGAGAGGAACACCAGUGGCGAAGGCGAGUCCCUGGACAACAACUGACGCUGAGGCGCGAAAGCUAGGGGAGCAAACAGG